AGCCCGGUAGCUCAGUGGUAGAGUAUUGCACUUCUAUUCCACAAGUCCGAAACUCAAAUCCCGGGCUG